GCACACAGCCGCUGCACAGGAGACGUAGCAUUUCAGAGCUUGAACUUCCAGAAUCCCGUGAUGCUGAGGAGGGCAACCUGGACUUUUUUUUUAUAGACUGGAAAUUAGAGUGUAUAAGGUACAGAAAGAAUGACCCCAAGCCCUCAUGCAAACUAUGUGGAAUCUUUUCAGUCUAAAGUAGAUUUGGGACUAAAGACAGUACAAAUAUUUCUCAAAUAAAGGGAUAAAUCUGGCUAUGCAGAGAUGCAGCACAAUGCCGUCAUAAAAAAUCCGCUUUUGUCCAUGCCACAGCCCUGAACCUCCUGUGCACUCGAUCAGAGACCCUGAUAAAUCUGGGCUGCUAGAAAUGCCAACCAGCUCAUAUGUUUUCAGUGAGCGAUGACAGGGAGCCAAAUUGCUUUAUUCCGAUUAGGGAAGGGCCUCUGACUGUAAAAUAUACUGUGUGAAAAAAAAUAUUGAGUUUUAGUUCGCUGACACAUCAAUUUAAGAGAGUUAUGGCUCUCACACGGAGGCCAGGCAGGUAUCUCCCCACAUGUAUGUGCAAUAAAAAUUAAUUGUGGCCUUUUAUACAGGGCACUGUUCGCACUUGUGGGAUCAGAGGGUGACCUGAGCGUCACCUCCAGUGGCAAGCUGCAACACUGGAGGUGGUGGUUCUUUUCUGGGAAACCACGGAGGGAAACAAAUGCCAAAAGCCACGAAUAAGCUUUACAUGUAACUUUUUGAAUUUUAAAAGAAGAUACGCAGCCAUGUUCUGUUCAUAUUUUUUCCCUAAAAUAGAUAGAUAGAUAGAUAGAUAGAUAAUGUUUGAUGGGUAUCAUGUGUGUGUAUCAAUCAGGGUCCAGACAAGGAAACAGAAACUUCACAUCUUUCCGAUUAAUUCAGGCAACUGGUUGUAGGGAAUGGAAGUGUGAAAAAGCCAAACAGAAUGAUCAGGCAACCCCAAGGUUAGCAACAGCAGGAAGCUGCUUUGAGGGCUCAGAAAACACAAGGAAGAGGGGGCUUUAUGGAGAACAGGAGCUGCAGUUGUCUGAGGAAGCUUGAGCCAUGGUGGAAACAUCUCAGGGAGCUGUGGCCACAGAGCGGGGAGCCGGGCUACCGCUGCUGGGGAUCUCUUAGACAAGUUCCUCAACUUCUCCCAGCUCAGAUUCAUCUACUGUGAAAUGCACAUGACCUGUCCCUUGCACUUGCGCUGUUGGGAAAGGUAGAAGCUAAGGCAUGUAACUCUCACUGUAGACCUGAAGCAGAAAGGGGUGACCAUGACAGGUAGUUAUUAUUAUCAGAAAUAGACAUAACGAAUAUAGCCUAUGUGCUGGAGAGUGGCUGGUUGUUGGCCUGGUUGUUUGAUUUCUCUUCCAGUUUGGCACGACCUUGGGACUGAGUAUAGGUGGGGGGAUGGGGGUCUAAGUAUACAACCUCCAGGCCUGGCUGAGAAAACCUCCCUUGCCCUCAUUCACGGUCUUUCUUCCCUUGCUUGUUGGCCUUCCCGAGGGGUGAAGCAAAGCGUUGGAGGCCCUUAAGGGUGAUGAAGCCACAAGAUGGAAAGACCCUGAGUCCUUGAGUCACUGCUUGUAGGAGAGCUGCCCGACCAGGAAGACUCACAUGGGGCUGCUCCAUGUGUGAGAAAGACAUUUUACUUUGUCAAGGCACUGGCAUCGUGGGAUUGUUUGUUAAGGCAGCUAACCUAAGACAGCCUAUGUCUUCACUCAGCUUCCCUCUCCCCUACCUACCUUACAGAGUUCUUUUGAGAAUAAGUAUGAAAACAUACAUCAAAGUGCUUGAAAAACCUGAAUGCACUAGAAAAAUGUGAAGUUCCGUUAAGGAUGGUAUCAUUUGCUCCAAGCCUGCAAACUUUACCUGUGGUCAUUACUCUGGCCAUUGGUAGUGUUAUGGCAUUAAGUUCUGGGUGCCCUUGUAUUUGCCUCCUUGAACCAGCUUUCCCCUUGGGAGGAAAUCAAGAAUGUGGAAUGGGAAGGAGGGGUACCAUCUCCCUCCAGUGACCUGCAUGAUGAUUUAAGGGCCCUCUGCUAUUCGCUUUCUAAAAAUGUCUGGCUUGGCCUAUCAUCCUGAGGUCUGGUCUAUUAAUAUGAAAACCACCUUGUGGGGCUGGGAAGCAAAGCAUUAAAGUAAUGUUAGGCACUAGUAUUGUAGAAUGAAAUAGCAGCUCAGAACUCUCCCUCUGUGACAAGUGGCUGGAGCAAGAGAUUUAGAAUGUGCCAAGGAAGGAGAGUCAUUUUGGAGAAGACAUCACUGGCCUGGAAGAAGGGACCAGGCAGGCUACUCCAGUAAGGACAUGAGAAAGUGAGGAAGAGAUUCCCAAGGAAGGAGACAGGAAGAAAGGAGAGAGCGAUGGGAGAGAAUGAAGCCAAACCAGGCCUGCUUUCCCCAAGAGCUGCCUUAACUACACCCCCAAUUGCAAUUUUAAUGAAAAGAACAAAUAUUUAGUGUUUUCCAUGCAGCAGGCAUGGUUCUAAGUGCUUUAUGUCCUCAAACAAUCUUUGGGGGAUAAGUACCAUUAUUAUCUCUUCCAAAGAACACCACCAAUUGCCCAAGAUCAUAUAGCCAAUAAGUGGUGGAGGGAUUUGAACCCAGGAAGACUAGCUCUGGAGGCAGUUUCCUUAACCACUAAAUUAUUUUCCUCCUCAACUUAAUAGACUUGAAUCCAGCAAAUAGUUUGGGGGGAGUUUUGUAUGAAGCACUAGGGAAAUUGGAAAGAUGGAUGAGAAAGACCAUCUUUACUCUUCCCUAAGGAAUUUCUACUGUAAUGAAACCCAGCUAGGCACAUGCUAUGAGGGGCUUGGGGACAGUAACUCAGGGCAGUCCAGGCAGACAGGUAACAUCCAUGAAAGUGGUUCCCAGAAAGAAGGACUGCAAGCAUCUCGCUCAGCUUGGGGACAGGACUCCUGUUCUAGAUGAGCAAAGACAAGCAAGACCCAAGGCCUUGAGGGGAUAAGGGUGAGAACCUGGGAUAGGAUGAAUCAUGGACAUUGGAAUUCAGAUAGAGACUAAAGCUGUAACACACUGCACCCGUUAGGAGUGAUUGUUUAACUGCAGCCAAUAGACUUGACUUGAUCUUCUUUUGUUUACUCUCUCCCCCUCCCCAAAUCCCUACAACUGAGCUGCUCAAACUUCCUAACUGCAUGUUUGGCACUGUCCUGGGUCCCAGAACACUCUGUUGAGGAAGGAAGUUUUCAAUCACCCUUGGCUCCUAACCCUCCAUCAGACAUGCCCUGGAUGAUCUGGAGCCAAUCUCCCCAUUCAACAACCUGACCAAGAAGCAGGGCAUCUGGUCUCAGUCUCUAGGUUUCAGAGUCAGGUGUCUGGGCACUCACCUCCCUCUCCCUGCAGUUCCCACCCCCAGCCCAGUUAGGAUGAUAGCAUGGGGCCAAGGCUCUUCCUUGUCUGCCUAACACCCAUCCCCCUUUCUUCCUUGCUAACAGAAAUUCAGUUUUGUUUGGGAGCAAUACGUCAUCCCCAGGCACUGGAUCAUGAUUUGUCUAAGCUAAUUAUGACAAUUUCCUUCUCUAUUUUUCCAGACUCCUGGGAAUCUAGGGAUAUCGCAUGACCAAUUCAUCUGGUCAAUAAGACUCGGGGGGGGGGGUGCAUGAGGGGUAAUGUUUUCUUCCUGAUAAAAGGAAUAGACAAGGUUUGCACGGCCCUCCCCCCACCCUCUUCUUGUCUUAAAUUUGGACCUGAUGUCUGUGGUUCCUGCCACCCCCCCCCCCUAGUUCAUAGCUUCUGACUUAGGUAUUCAGACUUGAACAAAACUGAGCCAUCAAUUUGCCUUCCUACUGGCUCCUUCUUAAGGUUCACAGUCCCUGAUUUCACCAGCAUGUAUCAGUCAUCCAGGCAAAAGCCAAGGGCCAGAUUUGCUUCCUGAUGCUCCCUCACUACUGCUCCCCGCCAGCCCCCAUCCUAUUAUUCACCAGGUCUUAUUCAUUUGACCUCUUGACUGUCUUUUGAAUCGGCUUCCUCUGCAUCACCACUGGCACUGCCUUAGUUCAGAGCUUCACCUUGAUGGCUCUGCUGGUCUCCUCAUUGAUCUCUUCCUUCCCCCUGACCUCUUCACUCAGACCUCCAAAAGUGAGUUAGAGCUGCAUUUCUGAAAUUCAAAUCUGAUCAGGUGAUUUCUCUACAUAAAAUUCUUCCGUUCCCUCCCCAACUUUAGCUUAGGCCCCUUGAGAUGUGCCUUGUAACAGACACUUUAGGCUGCGGUUCCUGCCUGCUUAUUUCUCCUGCCAUCCCCAAAGGUAUCCUUCCAUCUGAGUUAGCAAAUGCAAUGUAUGUACCCUUGGAACCAUCUCUGCUCUUUCUUGUGACAGUCCCUCUGCCUGGAUUUGUCCUUCCUUCUGAUCCUCUUUAGACAAUCCAAUUUGACCUUUAAAACUCAGGUCAAUAUGUUUCUCCUUCCUUUCUCGGAAAGUUUGCCUCAAUGCUCCUUCUUUUCUGUUGACUUCAGAUGUCCUCUUUGUUCCUAUAACUUCAAUAUUACCUGACACGUUGAUCUGUAAUUUCCAGUUAUUUUUUCUGGUUAAUGCCUGUGUAAGUUGACUCGCCUACUUACCAAGGUCACUGCUUGUCAUUGCUUUAUGCAUCCUAUCACUUCCUUCUGGGUUUAAUGUCUUUGUUCCAUUUCUGAAGUAAAUCUCUUAGUAAUUCUUUCCAUUAAAAUCAUACAUGUAAAUUCCCUCACUUUGUUUUUAAAUUUCUAUGUCUAUUUCACUCUCGCUCCUUUUUACCUUUUCUUAUGAAAAAUUUCAAAAAUAUAUUUUCAAAAAUUUCAAAAGUACAAAAAGAUAAUAAACACACAUUUACUUCAUCUGGAUUUAGCAGUUGUUAGCAUAUGCCAUAUUUGCUUCAUCUGUUUUUUUUUCCUAAAGUAUAGACAACAGGCAUCCUCACUUUUACCCUGUGCAGGAUAUUUUUUUCCUUAUUCCUUUCUCUAUCCUGCUCUGUUCUGGAGAAAAUUACUGCUAGGGACUGGAUCCCCAGACCCUCUUACUCUCUGGCUCUUGGUUGGGUUUGAUUCAUAGGAACAUCCAGGAGAAGGUUUGAAGAUGGGCCAAGAGUUGGCAGUGGUUGUGUUUCCCCACUGAAGCCCACAGCUUCUUGUCAGGGGAUCCUCUAGAGCUACAACCACAGUUCUUUCUCUAAGUCUGAGUAACUUCUCCAUCCUCUNNNNNNNNNNNNNNNNNNNNNNNNNNNNNNNNNNNACCCAUGAUUGAGAAUUCAUAUAGCUCCAGGGUGAUUCAGUGUGCUUUGUUGGUUUCUGUACAUCCUGAUCAUACCUUUGUGAAUUUUUCCUUUAUUAAACUUUCUUCUAUUAUCCCACUUGAUCCUGACUAGUACACACUCCUAAGUCCUUCAAUAUGUAUCUCUUAAAAAAAGAGACUUUAAAAACAUAAACGUAAUACCACUAACAUAAAAAUUAAACCAAAUUAGCAGUACUUCCUUAAUAUCAUCUGAUAUCUAGUCCAUAUUCAAAUUUCUCCAACUGUUCCCCAAAUUGUCUUUUAUAGCUGAUUUGUUUAAUUUAGAACUCAACCUGAGCACUACAUGCUGCAUUUAGUUGUGUCUCCUAAAUUCCUUUAAAUCCCUUUAAAUCCAGUCCCCCAUCACUUUCUUUUCAGAUUAACCAUUUUUGACAGGAAUACUUCAUAGGCAACGUUGCCUAUUUGAUAGUGAAUCAUAUCAUGAGGCACAUGUGGACCCACUAUUAGUAAUGCUAAGUUUGAUUGCUGUCCUCCUCACUCUUAAAUGAUAGUUGAGAUGGGUAUAGAAUUUUUGAAUUGACAGUUAUUUCCCCCUAUUUUUGGCCGUUAUUUCUUCUCUCCUUUACCAAUGCUGCUGCAAAAUCUGAUACUGUCAUUCAGUUGUUGCUCCUUGUAAAUCAUUUUCCUUUUUUCUUGGGCUUUUUUUUUUUAUAUUUCCUCUUUGUCUUUGUUAUUACAAUGCACAUAAUUGUGGUUUAAUUUUAACUUACCCUCAGGACUCUUUUGAUUCUGAGGAUUCAUGGAUUUCAUUAGUUCUAAAAAGCUCUUUGUCAUGAGUGAUUCUAAUGUAGCCGCAUCCUUCUUUAAGUCUCUUCUCUUAAAUUCUUUAUUAGAUACAUGUUGAACCUUCUCAUUUUAUCCUCCAUGUUCUCUAACUCCUUUUUUAUGGUUCCCAUCACUUUAUCUCACUAUAUACAUUGCAGGCAAUUUCUUCAGCUCCAUCUUUACAAAUUUUCUCUUCAGCUUCAUCCCUCAUUCUGUUUAACUCAUCUGUUGAAUUUUUAAUUUCACCUUUUUUUUCAUUUCCAAAAAUUCUAUUUGCUUCUCUUUUUUUGGAAUAUGCCUGGUUUUUAUGUUAACAUAGUGUCACAUGCUUUCAUUAUGACUUUCACAUCUUUUAUUGAUUUAAUUACUUUAAAUGUAUUUAUAUUACAGUCUCACUCAGUUUCUCUAUUCUUUCAAGUUCUUGGGAUGUUUAUAGGUAUUUUCAUUUGCUUAUUUGUUUUUCUUUUUUUUUCUGCCACCUCUCCCUCGUGUGAAUUAUAUCCUCACAUGGAUUGUAAUGUGUUUUAUUGUGAAGUCAUCUUCAACAGGCUUUUUUAGGAGGUUGGAUGGGAGUCUUUUAUUCUGGAAUGUGGCAGCAUUGCCACAGAGGAUUUUUGCAUUUGCUUUCUAGGGCCAGAUUUUAUGCAAUUUUAUGGCUUGAGGAAUUCCUAUAUCAUACAUACCGGGAAAAUUCAGACUCUACAGGGUUUUGAAUUCUCAUUGAGGGCUUUUAAUUUACUACCUAGAGCUCUGGGAAGAGAAGAGGAUAUUUGCCACUAUUCUGGACCAAUGGCAAAGUUGCCUACUUCCCUUUUUCAUCCUCAUAAGGUAACAUCUUUAUGCAAAAAUCUCACCUUCAGCUCUCCUAUUUUAUGAGGGCCCACAAUCAUAUUUUCUCACUCCACAUCCCUGUUCAAACUCUGACUCCUAGCCCCUAAAGUCUGUAUUCUUUCUGAUAGAUUCCCUAUCAGAUACCACAGCAUUAGUUUAUGGAUUUACUGGGUUAGUUUAACUUUUUGUUUGAUCCUGGCACUUUGGAAGUUUCAUUUCCUUUAUUGCCAGCCUGUAUUAAUUUUGUAAUAUUUUAUUGCUAUACUUUCCCAAACUUCUAGGUGUUACUGUUAUUAUCUGCCUAGUUUAUUCUCUCUACAACUAGAUUGUAAGCACUUUGAGGGCAUCAUCUGUGACAGAGUGAGUGCACUCCAAUUCCUCAAAUCUAACAAAAUUCCUGGCAGCUAAUUGGUACUCAAUGGAUAAUUUUUAAUGUCUGAAUGAAGUUUUCCGUAAUUAUAAAGUUAAUGUUUUCCUAGGCAUUAAUUUACAGUUAGUAUGUCCUUGUGUGAACAUUUUUUUCAUUAGUCCAUGUUGACUUGCUGUGUCAUGGAGACUGGAUGUUGACUUUGUACCCAUUCUUUCUACAUUUAGAAGAAAAGAUUUUAUCCACGUAUUUAUUAUGCAUGUUCCACUGUCUUCUUCUUUAAUAUAUUUUCUUGUAAUUUGUUAGUAUACCAUAAUGUGACAGGUCUAUUUAGUCUAAAAUAAUUUUUUGAAGAGUCUUCUGUCUGUAAAAAAAAAAAA
ensembl:lncRNA